rnacentral:rRNA from 1 species
UGAAUACGAGAUGCUACGGCAUCGAAGCAGUCUAUGUCAUACUUCCAAGAAAAGCUUGCACUGUCAUAAACAAAUAAUGCCUGUACCAUAACCGACACAGGUGGGUAGGUAGAGUAUACUAAGGGGCGCGAGAUAACUCUCUCUAAGGAACUCGGCAAAAUGACUCCGUAACUUCGGGAGAAGGAGUGCCUUAUUUUAUAAGGUUGCAAUAACAAGAUCCAAGCAACUGUUUACCAAAAACACAGGUCUCCGCUAAGUCGUAAGACGAUGUAUGGGGGCUGACGCCCGCCCAGUGCCAGAAGGUUAAAGAAGUUGGUUAGCAUUAGCGAAGCUGAUAACUGAAGCCCUGGUGAACGGCGGCCGUAACGAUAACGGUCCUAAGGUAGCGAAAUUCCUUGUCGGGUAAGUUCCGACCCGCACGAAAGGCGUAAUGAUUUGGAUACUGUCUCGGAGAGGGGCUCGGUGAAAUAGACUUGUCUGUGAAGAUGCGGACUACCUGCACCAGGACAGAAAGACCCUAUGAAGCUUUACUGUAACUUGAGAUUGAAAUUGGACUUUAUUUGCGCAGUAUAGGUGGGAGACGUUGAAAAUAUUCUUGCGGGAAUAUUGGAGUCAUCAGUGAGAUACCACUCUUAUAAUGUUAGAUUUCUAACUUUGUAUCAUUAUCCGGUCAAAGAACAGUCCCAGGCGGGCAGUUUGACUGGGGCGGUCGCCUCCCAAACGGUAACGGAGGCGCACAAAGGUUUCCUCUGAACGUGUAGAAAUCGUAUCUAGAGUGUAAAGGCAUAAGGAAGCUUGACUGUGAGACCUACAAGUCGAGCAGGGACGAAAGUCGGUCUUAGUGAUCUGACGGUGCUGAGUGGAAAGGCCGUCACUCAACGGAUAAAAGUUACUCUAGGAUAACAGGCUGAUCUCCCCCAAGAGUUCACAUCGACGGGGAGGUUUGGCACCUCGAUGUCGGCUCAUCGCAUCCUGGGGCGGUAGUACGUCCCAAGGGUUGGGCUGUUCGCCCAUGAAAGCGGUACGCGAGCUGGGUUCAGAACGUCGUGAGACAGUUCGGUCCAUAUCCGGUGUAGGCGUUAGAAUAUUGAGAGGAGCCUUCUUUAGUACGAGAGGACCGUGAAGGACAUACCUCUGGUGUACCAGUUAUCGUGCCAACGGUAAACACUGGGUAGCUAUGUAUGGAGAGGAUAACCGCAGAAAGCAUCUAAGUGGGAAGCCCACCUCAAGAUAAG